rnacentral:rRNA from 1 species
UACGGGGGGGCAAGCGUUGUUCGGAAUUACUGGGCGGUAAAGGGCUCGUAGGCGGCCAACUAAGUCAGGACGUGAAAUCCCCAGGCUCAACCUGGGAACUGCGUCUGAUACUGGAUGGCUUGAAUCGGGAGAGGGAUGCGAAUUCCAGGUGUAGCGGUGAAAUGCGUAGAUAUCAGGAGGAACACCGGUGGCGAAGGCGGGUCUCUGGGCAACAACGUGACGCUGGAGGAGCGAAAGCGUGGGGAGCAAACAGG